CAGGAUAUCAAUUAUAACCAAGCAUUUUUCCAUUUAUCAACUAAGUAACAGACAACAAAAUUGAACAAAUAACAUAAAAUAUGUUUUCCCACA